rnacentral:rRNA from 1 species
UGACAUCAGUUAAACGGCCGCGGUAUCCUGACCGUGCAAAGGUAGCAUAAUCACUUGUUCUUUAAAUAAGGACUAGUAUGAAUGGCCACACGAGGGUUUAACUGUCUCUUACUUCCAAUCAGUGAAAUUGACCUUCCCGUGAAGAGGCGGGAAUAAAACAAUAAGACGAGAAGACCCUAUGGAGCUUCAAUUAACUGACCCAAUAUAGAUUGACCAUAUUUAACCAACCAGGGAUAUCAUAACUCUAUAUCUGGAUUAGCAAUUUAGGUUGGGGUGACCUCGGAGAAAAAACCAUCCUCCGAGUGAUACAAUUCUAGACUUACUAGUCGAAACGCUCUAUCAUUUAUUGAUCCAAAAUUUUUGAUCAACGGAAUAAGUUACCCUAGGGAUAACAGCGCAAUCCUAUUCAAGAGUCCAUAUCAACAAUAGGGUUUACGACCUCGAUGUUGGAUCAGGACAUCCUAAUGGUGCAGCAGCUAUAAGGGUUCGUU